GAGAUUAUCCACGAACUGCUAAGUCACACCCCCCCGAGCCUAAAACACUCGGACUUCUC
rnacentral:tRNA from 1 species